AGAGAGGAGAACACAGAUGAUGUUGUGUAGACACUAACUGUGCUCCUGCAUUUAGUGAAGGUUAAAUAUACUGUAGUGGUAGAUAUUCUCAAUUGGACAAUCAUCAAGUAAGCUGGACUCCCUAUUGAAAAACCAGAAGAAUGAGCAACACUUCAUGUUGACGAUAUCGCUGGAAAUGAAGUGUGCCCAACUAAGCAAGCCAGAGGCGACAGCGGCAAGGAACCAAAACUCCAUCGGUGACAGAAUGGAGAAAAACACCUUGGGAGAAACCAGGCUCAGUCGGGGAUUUGGUCCACUACUGGGCUUUGAAUGCAUGAAUAAUCAGCAGGGUGGAGGGGUCUGUCAGGACAACAAGGGUCCGCUACACAUGUUAGUGCAAGAGCCAUGUUCUCUCAAAGUCCACAAGUAAUAGUACAACAAACAUUUGCUUGCUUUGCCCAUCCUAGCGUCAGUUCAUGUUGUGGUUGUUGUGAAGUGAUUUGUAAGAACAUUGGAGUGAAUUAAAUGAUUCAAUACUCUAUUCCUAUGAUGAUACCUGCACUUGUGCACACUUGUUCAUUUACAGUAUAUUGGCUUACUGUACUAACAAUUCAGACAAGUUAAUUUUCUUAAUGUGA